rnacentral:rRNA from 1 species
GAUGAACGCUGGCGGCGUGCCUAAUACAUGCAAGUCGAGCGAACAGACGAUGAUCUUGCUCCUCUGACGUGAGCGGAGGACGUGUGAAUAACACGUGUAUAACCUACCUAUAAUUCUGGUAUAACUUCGGGACACCGGAGCUAAUCCCGUAUAAUAUAUUGCACCGCAUGGUUGGUUAGUGAAAUACGGUUUUGCUGUCACUUAUAGAUGGAUCCCCGCUGCAUUAGCUAGUUGUUAAGGUAACGGCUUUCCAAGGCAACGAUGCGUAGCCGAGGUGAGAGGGUGAUAGGCGACACUGGAGGUGGACCAGGGUCAAGAGGACUAAGGGAGGCAGCAGUAGCGAAUCUUCGGCAGUGGGCGAAAGCCUGACGGAGCAGGGGGGAGUGAGAGAUGAAGAUCCUGGGAGCGUAAAACUGUGUUAUUAGGGAAGAACAAAUGUGUAAGUAACUAUGCACGUAUUGACGGUAACUAAUAAGAAAGCCACGGCUAACUACGUG